rnacentral:rRNA from 1 species
AACGAACGCUGGCGGCAUGCCUAACACAUGCAAGUCGAACGAGACCUUCGGGUAUAGUGGCGCACGGGUGCGUAACGCGUGGGAACCUGCCCUUAGGUUCGGAAUAACUCCCCGAAAGGGGUGCUAAUACCGGUUAAUGUCUUCGGACCAAAGAUUUAUCGCCUUUGGAUGGGCCCGCGUUGGAUUAGCUAGUUGGUAGGGUAAAAGCCUACCAAGGCGACGAUCCAUAGCUGGUCUGAGAGGAUGAUCAGCCACACUGGGACUGAGACCCGGCCCAGACUCCUACGGGAGGCAGCAGUGGGGAAUAUUGGACAAUGGGCGAAAGCCUGAUCCAGCAAUGCCGCGUGAGUGAUGAAGGCCUUAGGGUUGUAAAGCUCUUUUACCCGGGAUGAUAAUGACAGUACCGGGAGAAUAAGCUCCGGCUAACUCCGUG